rnacentral:lncRNA from 10 species
AGGGGAAGCCCUUGCUUUUUUCUUUUCCUUUCUCGCUCUUUCUUCCAGAACAGCCUUUAUACUUAGAAAGCAUAGCUGUAUUCUUAGAGAAUAGCUAAGCAUGUAGGACCACAACCAUCUUGAAGACCAUAAUAGUCGAGGGGCCAUCCCUCUUCCCACCACUCUAGAAGGGUACAGCAGUCACGGGAGAAGAUUAUAUUGAAGAUGAUCCUGCAGCAGCAGAUCAUACAUAUCGAUUUGUGAGGAAAAAAUUCAUCUUUUUCGUGCCCUGAUUGAAGAGGACCAACGAUUAACAGCAGAAACAAUAGCGAACACCAUAGACAUCUCAGUUGGUUCAACAUACACAAUUCUGACUGAAAAAUUAAAGCUCCCCACACAUCUAAAUAUUUUGUGAGGAGAUACUUUGAAAGGAGCUGGAGGAACUUCAGUAAGCUGAAGACUCUGUUCAGAGGAAAUUACCUAAUUGAAAAUGUCUGGGCUAAGAGACCGACAAUAAAGGAAACUGGCAAAAGUACUCUUUAAUUACAAGUUCUUUUUCAUCUUCAU